UUUAUCUUGACUUUUCCUUCCCCCAUCCGUGGCUUCCUCCUCACGCCGAGCACGCCAGCUUCAUUCCCUUCGGUUCUGUUUCUCUUGCAUUUUUUUUUCCUGGCAGCUUCAUCGUUUGUUCAUUUUCCAUCGAAGAAGACGUCCAGCUCCUUCACUUUUCCUCUGCCAGCCGUCCCUCACGAAGACAGAAGCUGCUCCAUCACCAUCUCUCCUCCUUCGCAAGCUCGGUCAAUUCCCCCAGUAGAAGCCCCAAGUGUUGACCGCCUCAGCUGCCCGAUCUUCUUCGCUGCUGCUCCUCUGCCACGAAGACAAGCAGCGACCAAGCUGCCGCGUCCCAGGAUCCCUCUUCCCCAGCGAGUCAAGCCACCGAAGCAGCUCCACCGAAGUCAACUCCCAGCUCUCUGUCGCACGACCGAAGCAGCUCUCUCUUCCUCGCCUUCAUCCGCGGCCUCUUCUCACGCCGUUCGGCCCAUUUGUAAUCGAGCCCAGCAGCCACGAAGCCAACAGCCACGCAAUUUUCAGCCUUUGGUCCGGCCACUUGAAGUCCACAAAUCAAGCCCACGGCCCACAUCUUCGGCCCAUCAAUUCAACCCAGCAUCUCCGCAAAUUUUCAACGUCUUCGGCCCAUCUUUAAUUCGCAAGCCCAGCCCAUUUUAAGCCUGUGAAUUUCAGCCACUGCAGCCCGCAAAAUCAGCCUAGCCCGUGCGUGUCAGCCCAUCACUUAAAGCUCAGCCAAGCCUAGCAGUUGCUGUGGGCCUUGCAAGGCUUGUUUGGCCCAUCCCAAGCUUCCCUCAG
rnacentral:lncRNA from 1 species